rnacentral:rRNA from 1 species
AGAGUUUGAUCCUGGCUCAGAUUGAACGCUGGCGGCAUGCCUUACACAUGCAAGUCGAACGAGACCUUCGGGUCUAGUGGCGCACGGGUGCGUAACGCGUGGGAAUCUGCCUUUGGGUUCGGAAUAACAGUGAGAAAUUACUGCUAAUACCGGAUGAUGACGAAAGUCCAAAGAUUUAUCGCCCAGGGAUGAGCCCGCGUAGGAUUAGCUAGUUGGUGAGGUAAAGGCUCACCAAGGCUACGAUCCUUAGCUGGUCUGAGAGGAUGAUCAGCCACACUGGGACUGAGACACGGCCCAGACUCCUACGGGAGGCAGCAGUAGGGAAUAUUGGACAAUGGGGGCAACCCUGAUCCAGCAAUGCCGCGUGAGUGAUGAAGGCCUUAGGGUUGUAAAGCUCUUUUACCCGAGAUGAUAAUGACAGUAUCGGGAGAAUAAGCUCCGGCUAACUCCGUGCCAGCAGCCGCGGUAAU